CGUUGUUGCUAAACGUUGUCACAACGAUGUCAUAAGGUUGCCAUUUAAACAUCAUGAGGGCCGCAUACUUUAGGUUGCGUGGACGACCACUGUUCAACAUUUACUGGUCACAGCUAAAUCAGUUUAAAUUUCAACAAGCCGUCGUCUCAUUCAUCAACGACCGAGGAGACGCUAUUUUUACAUGGAGAAUGUUUUCAGCUGUUGAAUUCACCUCAGAUCAGUGUUGCUGUAAUUCCUGAUCUAUGGAAAGAAGAAUUGGAUGAGUGAGCAACGCCACAACUACAGGACCUCUUCUUUCUCUACUCAUAAUUUAACUGGAUUAUCCGUUGAAUUUGUUUCUUCCUCUGACUGCUUUCUCCAUACCAACAACU